UAUUAGGUUGCUGCAAAAGUAAUUGUGGUUUUUGUCAUUGAUUGUAAUGGCAAAAACUGCAAUUGCUUUUGCACCAACCUAAUA
rfam:Pongo abelii chromosome X.